CGACAUAUCACUUUGAACAGUUUUUUGUCGCGCCUCAACAAGAAACGACACUUCAACCAAACGACAAAAUCAAUAAAGAACGCAAAACAGUUCGACAAGACACGCUUAACGUCGAUUCCUCGCGGCUGGCGAAUUUAUUCGACAUGCAAAUGAUGCACACAGAACAUUAACAAGUCGUCAGAAUUAACAAGAGAAGAGUACAACCAUCCUCGAAUUGUCGUUUGGGUCCAAAGUUUUCUGGCAUAGGUACCAGAACCCAAAGUACCCAAGUGAACCCAAAGGUGAUAAGAAAAAGAUAAGUGCCUAUAUUAAAUUUUCCCUAGGUUCUAAUUUAAAAUCUCUGCUUGCUACCUUAGAAAAUUAAUGUAUAAUAAUUCGCUUCUAAUUGUUCGAGUAUAUUGAAUUUGUGCUGCUAGUCGCCAGUGACCUCCAGGUAUUCGAAGUGUCGAAAGGCCGGUAGGUGUUCAAAAACGACGAAACGAAUUUACUCUUCAACGAAACGCGUCAACCUUGGAAUAAAUCACGACCCACCUUGAAACAUCCCCGUGGACGACAGUGACCUUUUCUUCUCCCUACGUGAAACCGUUACAUCUUUCACUAUAUAGACUCACGGGCAACGGUUCACGGUAACAUCUGAAUGCAAAGAGGAUACACAGUUGACUCCGCUGUAUCCGCGAUACGAAGAAAAAUCAAUUCUCUCUUGGGAUGACGCAUCACUUUGCACAUCGUAACACUGGCACAAUUCAAUCCUUUCGUCUCGUCACCAGUUCUUUCGAAGAAUGCAACCGUGCUUGGAUCAACACGUUGACAGAAGAAAAUGCGACCAGAGUACCGGGGUGUCGCGUGUGCAUCGAGAAGUCACAUGGAUUGACACGAACUGGGUGGCACGAGUGACUCAUGUGUCGCACAAUAUUCGUCUGGUAUAUCGGUUUCAUAAAUCUCCAUACGAGAUAGAGAUGUUUUCUGUAUUGUUGAUGAUACCAGCGCAAACUUUAUAUCCGCUCGAUUAGGACCAACACGACACCCUCUCACGUUCCCAAAAUGUUCCCUGCCAUUUGCACCAUUUUCGGUACAUUUUCAACUUCCUGUUAACAAUCGAUGGCAGAGAACGUGUUGAAUAUUUAUAAAAUUUCAACGAUACGUUACUAUCCAUGAUAAGAGUAAAUUUUCUCAUCAACACUGACAUUUUGUCGGUUGUCAAAUUUGUAGAAAAUUAUUAAAUAACUUUGAUGGUAUUAAAAACACAAGGGUUCCGAAAAUUCCAA